rnacentral:tRNA from 1 species
GCGGGCGUAGCCUAAGUAAGGCGUCCGGCCCAACCGGAAGAUGGGGGUGCAACUCCCUCCGCCCGCUCCA